UACGGAGGGUGCAAGCGUUGUUCGGAAUUAUUGGGCGUAAAGCGCGCGCAGGCGGAGCGCUAAGUCCGAUGUGAAAACCCUCGGCUCAACCGAGGACGUGCAUUGGAUACUGGCGGUCUUGAGUCCUGGAGAGGGUGGCGGAAUUCCCAGUGUAGAGGUGAAAUUCGUAGAUAUAGGGAGGAACACCAGCGGCGAAGGCGGCCACCUGGACAGUGACUGACGCUGAGGCGCGAAAGCGUGGGUAGCAAACAGG
rnacentral:misc_RNA from 1 species